rnacentral:lncRNA from 1 species
AAAGCCUUAGCAUCCUAACCCUAAAUCGAAGUGCAUCUGCCGCCGACGACAUUGGUAAAGGAGGAAGCAGCAUGGAGAAGAAUCAAAGUGCAUCUGCCUCAUGAAUUGAUCAUCCAAGUCCUCUUGAGGUUACCGGUGAAAUCUCUUGUACAUUUCAAAUGGAUUUGUAAGUCAUGGUUAACUCUUAUCUCCGAUCCUCACUUUGUAAUAUGUUUAUUGACAGCUUUAAUUGUUUGUGUGAUUCACUGUUGUUAUUUGUGCAUGUGUAAUUGGAUUGAGUUAUGAUGUAUGUUGUGAUCACUACUUAAAAUUGUUAUAUAUGGUAAAUUAUCUGUUGAGUUUAUGCAUGUUGAUCAACAUCACCAUCACAAUUACACCUAUUUGACUCAAAUUCAUUAAAAAGAAAUUAUUACAAGUCUAAUGAUUUUACUUUAUGCUUCCUAGUGUAUAAUCCCUUUAACAUCUCCCAAAUUUCUUUGUCUGGAAACUAUCCUCUAUUUUUGUUAUUUCCACCAAUAAAAACCGUAAUUCAUAACAUAGAGUACAAUGGACAAUCUAUAGUUCUGAAUACUUCUCUUUUUUAUGAAUCUGACUCCUCUAAAGUGAUUGAUUCACUUUAGAGUGUAAAGUGAGUAAUUUCAACUAUUAAUUAGUAAUAAAUUAAAGGUAGAUUUUAUAGGUACAUGAUAACAAAUUAUGGGGUUAUUACAACCACAACCCUUAAUUUCCUCACUUUACACUUAACUCACUUAGAGGAUCCAAUUCCCUUUUUUAUAUAUGUUCCUCUUUAGAUUAUGCCAUUUUCGAUCGCACAAUUGGAUGUGGAAUUGGAUCCAUUUUGCUCUUUGUGAUAGCAUAUAUGGUGUACAUCCACAUAUUGUGUUGAUCUUCCUUUGUUUUGUAAUAAGCAUCAUGUAGUAUGGCUCAAGAAAUUUGAUAAAUCCAAAAUAAAAAGAGAUACCAUAAGACAAUUGAGUUAUUAUUAUAAAUAAUGUUGAGAUUUUAAACUCAAUGUUGGAAUUUUAAAGAUUUUAUAUGAUUGAAAGAGACAAAAAUAGAACAUUUUGGGGAUCUUAAAGAUUGACAGAUCAAAGCCGUCUAAGUUAAAUAUGAUGAAAUCCAAUAUUAUACACAAAAAUUGAGUCUUGUGACAUUUUGAGGCGUAUACAUGAAGGAAACAAGUCCACUGGUAGAUAACUUGCGGGUAUACCCUAUAAAUGUAUACGCCGCAAAAUAUCUAUCAGUGGACUUGUUUCCUUCAUGGAUGCGUCUCAAAAUGGCACAACACUCAAUGUCUAUGUAUAAUGUUGUUGGAACUUCGAUGAUAUUUAAUUCAGAAGGCUUCAAUCUGUCAAUCUUUUUUUUUUUUUUUACAAUGAGUUGGGAAUCAAACCCAGUACCUAUAACAUACUACUCAAACCUCUCAGCACUAGACCAAACCUAGUGGCUUCGAUCCGUCAAUCUUUAAGAUCUUUCAUUUAUUGUUUUUGUCUCUUCCAAUCAUAUAGUAUCUUUAAAAUUACAACAUUAUUUAUCAUAAUAACUCAAGUUUCUUAUGAUGUCUCUUUUUAUUUAUGGUUUAUUAAAUUUCUUGAGCCAUACUACAUGUUAUUUAUAAACUAAAGGCAAUCAUCACCAUACAAGCCGGUUUUGUAAGGAUGAGCAGCAUCACAAAUAAGAGCAACAACAUCAGGAACCUCAACAGCAACCAAGAUGUGUUAUGGAAUAGGAAAAUUGGUCUUUGCUUUAGACCCUCGGAACAUAAUUGCUUUUUCAUCGUAAGCUCUGGCCGCUUCUAAAGCGGUGUUAAACUUUCCUAACCAGACACACGCCUUUUUGGAGGGAUCUUUGAUUUCUGCGGCGAAUCGUCCCCGUGGUCGCUUUCGAACGCCUCGGUAGCGGAUUUUUCGUGUCCGGAGUGAGAAAAUCCUACACCGGACAUGGAAAUCCGCUACCGAGACGUUCGGAAGGGACCGUGUGGACGAUUCUCCACAGAAAUCCAAGAUCCCUCCAAAAAGACGCGUGUCUGGUUAGGAACGUUUAACACCGCUUUAGAAGCGGCCAGAGCUUAUGAUGAAAAAGCGAUUAUGUUUUGAGGGUCUAAAGCAAAGACCAAUUUUCUUAUUCCAGAACACAUCUUGGUUGCUGCUGAGAUUGUUGUUGCUGAUGCUCCUAUUCGUGCUGCUGCUCAUCCGGUUAAUAAUGAUAGAAUUGAAAUUUUGAGAUACCGGUGAAUAGGCCUACUUCAAGCGAAAUGAGUAGUAUCGUUGAGUCAUUCAGUGGACCUAGGGCUAUUGUUGUUGGUUCGUCAUCAACAACAAUUGUUUCUAGGGUUCCUGUUGGUCCUGAGGAUUUUCAAGGUGAUUGUGAUUCAUCUUCAUCUAUUGUUGAUGAUGAUGAAGAUUGCGUUGUUGUUGCUUCUUCAUCAUCAUCGGUCAAGAAGCCGCUGGAGAUCGAUCUCAAUUUCCUUGCUCCGAUGAAUGAUGAAGAGAUCUGUGCUACCGCCUUGCAUCUUUGACUUACUGCUGCCGAUGCUGCUGAAUUAUCUUUUUUAUCUUUUAAUUUGAUGAAUGUAGUUUGUUGAGUCUUGGAAAAAAGAGGAAAAAGUAUGAAUUUUACUUUGUUAGAUUAUUAUGAAUAUGAUGAUUGUUGUAGAGUAUUGAAAUAGGGCAUGGUCAUCUAUGUAAUGUUAUGUGAUAAGUCGAUUUUGUAGGGUUGAGUUAGGCGCAAUCUACGAUGUUAUCAGAGCCUCCUCGACGAUUCUCUAGGCC